rnacentral:lncRNA from 1 species
CUUUUAUAAAUAUACAUGAGAAGAUACUAUUCUUGUUUAGUCAUGUUUUUCUUUUUACAUUGUUACAUACGCAACUCAUUUGUAUGCCUUGUAAAAUAAAUAUAAGUUAUUUAAUACAAAUAAUACGAAACGUAAUUCAAAUAUUAUUGUAUCGAUUAAUCGAAAGUGAAAUAUGUUUACGCGUUAGAUGUAUAAAUAAUUGAUCGAAAAAUCGUGAUAUGAAAACAAAUAAAAUACAAUGGUUAUUAUCGUUUGCAAUAUUUACGAUAAUUUUCACCAUUAUUCUUUGGGCUUCGAUAGAUCUUGGUCGAUAUACCAUCUUAGAUACGUAUAAUGUAAACAACGCACGGGAAAGUAAAUGGAAAUAAGCAUCUAGUUUUCCUGCCGUCCAUGAGACAGAAUUUUUCGACUAAUUUAUGUGAGGAAAUGCAUUUUGUUUUUUUUUUCUCCAUACACAAAUUGUCUUAUUCUCUCUUUGAUGAUAAAAAAAGAAAGGGAAAAAAAAGAGAGAACACUUUUCGAAUGAACGAAAGAGGGUUCCACUUAAUAGUCGAGUAUUUAUUUGACCGUUUGAGAAAGCGUCAAAUGAUUUACGAACGUAUUACCAUCGGUAGAUUUCAAAUUACACAUAGAUCGACGAAAUAAUAUACCCCCACGAGUUAAGGUCAAGCAAGUAUCAAAAUACCAAGUAAUGGAACACGAAACUGGAUAAGCAGAAAGAAAAAAGAAGACGAAUUAGAUAGUGGAAGAAGGAUUAUUAUUUGAUGAGUAUAAAUUAAACGCGAGUAAGAGUUCCCUUUCA